rnacentral:rRNA from 1 species
GAUGAACGCUGGCGGCGUGCCUAAUACAUGCAAGUCGAGCGAACGGACGAGAAGCUUGCUUCUCUGAUGUUAGCGGCGGACGGGUGAGUAACACGUGGAUAACCUACCUAUAAGACUGGGAUAACUUCGGGAAACCGGAGCUAAUACCGGAUAAUAUUUUGAACCGCAUGGUUCAAAAGUGAAAGACGGUCUUGCUGUCACUUAUAGAUGGAUCCGCGCUGCAUUAACUAGUUGGUAAGGUAACGGCUUACCAAGACAACGAUGCAUAGCCGACCUGAGAGGGUGAUCGGCCACACUGGAACUGAGACACGGUCCAGACUCCUACGGGAGGCAGCAGUAGGGAAUCUUCCGCAAUGGGCGAAAGCCUGACGGAGCAACGCCGCGUGAGUGAUGAAGGUCUUCGGAUCGUAAAACUCUGUUAUUAGGGAAGAACAUAUGUGUAAGUAACUGUGCACAUCUUGACGGUACCUAAUCAGAAAGCCACGGCUAACUACGUG